UACGGGGGGGGGCAAGCGUUGUUCGGAAUUACUGGGCGUAAAGGGCUCGUAGGCGGCCAACUAAGUCAUACGUGAAAUCCCUCGGCUUAACCGGGGAACUGCGUCUGAUACUGGAUGGCUUGAGUUCGGGAGAGGGAUGCGGAAUUCCAGGUGUAGCGGUGAAAUGCGUAGAUAUCUGGAGAAACACCGGUGGCGAAGGCGGCAUCCUGGACCGAUACUGACGCUGAGGAGCGAAAGCCAGGGGAGCAAACGGG
rnacentral:rRNA from 1 species